rnacentral:rRNA from 1 species
CGGGCGGACGGGUGAGUAACGCGUGGAUAACCUGCCUCAUACAGGGGGAUAACAGUUAGAAAUGACUGCUAAUACCGCAUAAGCGCACAGGACCGCAUGGUCUGGUGUGAAAAACUCCGGUGGUAUGGGAUGGAUCCGCGUCUGAUUAGCUGGUUGGUGAGGUAACGGCCCACCAAGGCGACGAUCAGUAGCCGACCUGAGAGGGUGGCCGGCCACAUUGGGACUGAGACACGGCCCAAACUCCUACGGAAGGCAGCAG